AAUAAUCAAUAAUCUUGGCUUGUCCAUUAUUAUCUAUUUACUGUGAACUGUAUUAUUAUUUGACAUUUGAGGGAUGUUCCAAUGUUAUAAGGAUAGACAUUGGAAAUGUUAACCGAGUCAUAAUCAGGUUUAGGCCUGGUAUCCUAUUAUUAUUUACCAAAUGAAUUCAGAAUUAAUAUUGUAACAUAGACCUAAAAAAUCUAUAAAA
rnacentral:misc_RNA from 1 species